AUGUACCUUAGGUGCGCCAUCCACGACCGGCCCAAGCAAUGGCGCAAGUGGCUCGCCGCCGCGGAGUUCUGGUACAAUUCGUCCCACCACUCAUCUUUAAAUUGUUCGCCUUUCAAGGCUCUCUAUGGCAGAGAAGCCAAUCUGGGAGAGCUUCCAACCUUCUUCGACAAAUUGUCGCCCGACGCCACCACCGGCGACCUCGACUGGGCGACCCACACCGAGCUACUUCGCGCCCGGCUCGCCGGAGCUCAACACCGCUUCAAGAGGCAAGCCGACAAGCACCGCUCGGAGCGCGCCUUCACCGUCGGGGAUCAAGUACUCCUCAAGCUCCGGCCAUACGUUCAAGUCUCCAUCGCCAGCCGCCCCUGCCGCAAGCUGGCGUACAAGUACUUCGGCCCCUUCACCGUCCUCGAGCGCAUCGGCGUCCUCGCCUACCGCCUGGAGCUACCACCGGACAGCCGCAUCCAUCCGGUCUUCCACGUGUCGCAGCUGAAGCCGUUCACCCCCAACCAUUCGCCGGACUUCGCCGAGCUGCCCAAGAUUCCAUACCUCACCACUCUUCCGCUUAGUCCCAUCGGCAUCCUGGAGCGACGGGUGGUGAGGAAAGGGGCUACUUCCAUGGUGCAGCUCCGAGUCCAGUGGUCCACUCUACCAGCCGACGCCACCACCUGGGAAGACCACGAUGUUCUGCGCCGCCGUUUCCCUGACGCCGCUAUCUGGGACGACGCCGCCGCUCAAGAGGGGGCGAAUGUCACACCUGAUCCUCAUGUUCAGUCCUCUGAAACGGAUACAGGGUGA
rnacentral:rRNA from 1 species